UUUUAGUCGUUUGAGUUUAAAUAUUUGAAUUUGUAUUAAGUAGCGCAUACUUCAGGCAGGUUAGAUUUAUGAUGGAAGGACUUUAGUGAAGAAAGUAGAAGUUGUCGCGUGCUCUCCAUUUAUUUGUGAAAUUUACCGAUUAAUAUUGAAUGGAAAAUUAGGCGAAGAAGAAGUAAACGCCCAGAAAAGUUGAUGAAAAGAGACACGGACAACAGUGAGGUUAGAAUCAGAAGAAAUGGAAUGAAGAAAUGUUAGAAUAUUAAUUUAUAAUUUGUUUUCAGGGGAACUAGAAGAUUUAUUGAGAAGAGGAAGGCAGGCAAGCCCAAUUUAGGAGGGAUAUUAUCUCGAACCGAAAUUACACGUUACGGCUUGAGCUGCCUGAAGUUUGCGAUUUGAUGAAAAUAUAUGAAUAAAGAAGUUCUUGUUCAA